rnacentral:tRNA from 1 species
GCACUCAUGGCGUAAUGGUUAUCGCUCAUGCCUUCAACGCAAAAAGCAAGGGUUCGAUUCCUGGCCGCG